CUCACUCCCGCACCAGCCGCCACACAACCCUAGGCCUCCUUGCACUUCGUUCCCCGCUCGCUCGUCCCUCGGUUCUCCUCAUCCCUCCUCUGCUCCGGCUGCUACGCCGCCUCUCCCUCCACAACACGACCAGCUCGAGCUCCACCUCCUCCAUCUCAAGGAGAUGACUGCACGACUGCACAAGACGUUCGGCGCUGUCACCAUCGUCCUCGACACGAGUGAAGCACGGGAUGCUUGCUGCAUCGCCGUCGUCCUUUCUUUCGCUGCCACCACCACCCCGACCGAGCCAUCCCCGUUCUCUCGUUGAGCCUUCUCCUCCGGGCUCACCGACCCAGGUGGCGGAGAAGGAGAGGGUGAGCUCGAGGGACAGGCAAGGGAGGAGGGCGUGACGGGGUCGGAUCUGGUGGUGGCAGAUUUGAGCUCGAGCUCGAGGCGGAGACAAGGAAGGUCGGAAAAUGAAGAGAUGGGAUGAAGGUGCUCGAGGCGAAGGACCGCUCAUCGGCGAGCUCUAGCUGGAGGCGGCGAGAUCCCUCUCCCAAUCUCUCAUUCUCUCGAUUUUCCCCUCUCCAAACCUUCAUCUAUGUUCUCGCGCAUUGCACACGUCUGCUCUCCCUCACCACAACCAGCGUCGGCAGCCUGCAUCCCCCGUCAAGCGUGCAUCGGCGCUAGAUGUGCAAGCUUCAACGACCGCAUCAACAACGAUGGUGGGCAGGCAAGGAGUGAGAUGGCGGUCACGAUUUUCAGUCUGAAGUUGCUUUUAUGAACUUUCAGUCAAUGUUAGCACUGAAUAUAUAUGGUAUUUCUUCUGCACCGAGCCGGAUAGUUUAGCUGAUAAUUUUUUCGUUCUGCAACCAAGUAGUGGAAGAUAAUGGUAACCAAGGCCACCUUUGUUGACCACGAUCCAGUUGUCUGUUAUAUUCUGUGUUUUCAUUUCCUUCCAUUAACAUGGCAUUAUGUGUUCUUAUUCAGCUUGCUUGUGGAAAAACUGGUUCUCGUUCAGUUAUGCCUGUCAGUCUGAUAGAAGAUGGACACCCCUCUUCAAGUUGGUUUAUGGGCUUGCGGAGUGUGAGAAGGCCGGUUCAUAUUGACAUGGAGGAGGCAUAGAGGGUUAUUGCUUCUGUUUGUGGGCUGGCCUUGAGGGGGAGACCAAAGCAAACAUCAACAUGUUCAAGGUACAUACUGAAGGAUGUUCUGAGGCUAGCACCUGGUUUAGAAGUUUUGCAGUUCACAACAAUACCUCAUAAUUUUGAUUUGAUGUCCAGAAUGUCAACUGAGGAAUGAGCCUAUGAACUGCAUUGUAUUUUGUAAUAUAUCCUUAUAUAUGGUGCUUGUGGCAUUUUUUUUGCAAUUAUAAGUUUACAUUUAUGGGUAUUUACAGAGUCCCCCUUUCUUUUUCCACAAGUGGCAGUAGUUGUGCCAUUCGAUUUGAAGGACAAAGAGUUGAUCACAAAGGGGUAGCAUUCAGGAUAUAUACACAAGAGUAUAGAACCAAAUUAUAUGAUGUAAUUGACCACUAUUUCUAUUAACUUUUCUUGUACACAAUGUUCACGAGUUCGUGUACAUUUUAUUGUGUCACUUGUGUUUACUUUUUUUUAAUGCAAGUUUACAGCUACUCGG
rnacentral:rRNA from 1 species